UACGUAGGUGGCAAGCGUUGUCCGGAUUUAUUGGGUUUAAAGGGCGCGUAGGCGGCCUACUAAGUCAGACGUGAAAUCCCCCGGCUUAACCUGGGAACUGCGUCUGAUACUGGAAGGCUUGAGUAUGGGAGAGGGAUGCAGAAUUCCAGGUGUAGCGGUGAAAUGCGUAGAUAUCUGGAGGAAUACCGGUGGCGAAGGCGGCAUCCUGGACCAUUACUGACGCUGAGGCGCGAAAGCUAGGGGAGCAAACGGG
rnacentral:rRNA from 1 species